rnacentral:misc_RNA from 1 species
UCAUUUGGUAAUGUCUUCGGCUUGCAAUCACAUUUCCAGCUCAGUCUCCGCAUUUUGCUUGUAGGUUAGAAACCGUUUAGUUUAUAUUCUGUUUCAAGUAAUCAUCAUAACAAAUUACUUUUAUUAUUUUAAUUUACAACAAUGUCUGACUCUAAAAAGAAAGUUUGCAUCAUUGGCUCUGGGAACUGGGGCUCAGCAAUAGCAAAAAUAGUUGGUGAAAAUGCGGCCAAACUGGACUCCUUCCACAACGAAGUUACCAUGUAUGUCUACGAGGAGAUGAUAGACGGCAAAAAGCUCACUGAAAUCAUCAACGAAACUCACGAAAACGUCAAAUACCUUCCAGGGCAUAAGCUUCCUCCUAAUGUCGUUGCCAUUCCAGAUGUUACAGUUGCCGCCACUGAUGCCGAUAUUCUAAUAUUUGUGAUUCCUCAUCAGUUCAUUAGGAGGAUUUGUGCUACACUUUUAGGGAAAAUUAAACCAACCGCCGUUGGUCUCUCUUUGAUCAAAGGAUUUGACAAGGCGGAAGGUGGUGGAAUCGAUCUUAUCUCAGACAUCAUCUCCAGACUUUUGAAAAUUCAAGUAUGUGUUCUAAUGGGUGCUAACCUAGCCAACGAAGUUGCUGAGCAGAAUUUCUGUGAAACAACGAUAGGUUGCAAAGACAGACAAUUGGCUCCAUUGCUGAGAGAUCUCAUUCAAACGCAUCAUUUCCGUGUUGUGGUGGUUGAUGAUGUCAACACCGUGGAAAUCUGUGGAGCGCUCAAGAACAUAGUGGCGUGUGGAGCCGGUUUCGUGGACGGUUUGAAGCUGGGCGACAACACGAAGGCGGCUGUCAUUCGAUUGGGUCUGAUGGAGAUGAUCAAGUUCGUCGACCUGUUCUACCCCGGCUGUCAGGUGACCACCUUCUUCGAGAGCUGUGGUGUCGCCGACCUCAUCACCACCUGCUACGGCGGCAGAAACCGAAAGAUAUCCGAGGCUUUCGUCACGACCGGUAAGUCAAUUGAAGAGUUGGAAAAGGAAAUGUUAAACGGCCAAAAACUGCAGGGACCCUUCACUGCCGAUGAAGUCAAUUACAUGCUCAAGAGCAAAAACUUGGAAGAAAAGUUUCCUCUGUUCACUGCUGUCCAUAAAAUAUGUGUGGGAGAAAUGCCAGUUUCAAAAUUUAUUGAUGCCAUCAGAUUCCAUCCAGAGCAUUCGCUAUGGCAGAAAAUAAGUGAGAAAAAGUGUUCACUAUAGUGAGUGUUGUAAGAUUGUGAUAUGAGUGAGUAUGCUUGGAAGAACCGCUGAUACAUUCACCCAAAUCGCCACUGUACUCCUCGCGUGAAAGAAACUCAGGCCACAGCAUGAUAAGUUAUCAGAAGUUAAUACAUUUCAACAGUGAUAAUAGUUUAUCAACCUUAGAUGAAGACGAAGAAUAUUAUCUAAGUCAGUCAUAAUUUUGCAGAUUUUUUACCUCCAAGGUAAUAUUCGCCAAAUAAAAAUUGAUUAUGUAUUAUUGGGAUAUUAGUAUAACUAUUGUGCUAUAGAAUAGUAAUUUUUCUUUUCAUAGUUUAUUUUAGUUUGUUGAAAAUCUUUAGUUAUAUUAAUUUUGUUCGGUUGUAGUUCAAAACAUUAAUAUCAAAGUAACGAAAAAUUUAGUAGUAUCAAAAUUGUUUUUUAUUUUUAGUAAUUCAUCAAUAUUGUAAUUGUUGGUUAAUUCAUUUGUGUAUGGGGUGAAUUUGGAUUUUAUUAUCUCGAAAGAUUUUUUUUUAUUUAUCUUAAUGUAGUAGAUUACCAACAUUGGUUCUUGAAUUGUUUUCAUUCUAUUCUUUUAUUAAUGUUGCUCCACACCAAAUUCCACAAUAGCAUCUUAGCUUUGGAAUGCAUGAAGCGAAUAAUUCUCACCCUCCGAUUAGGUAGGUUGUCUGAUUGAGGACGUUUUAUCAAUAGAAGAAAUAAAAAAAGUUACUUGGACACUCAGAAGUUAUGAGUGAAUAUUUAAGGUUUGUUCAGUAUAACCUACAUCUAUGUUCUUCCACUGUUAUUUGAUAAUUUUUAUUUUAGUGAUUACCAAUCUGAAUUAACUUUUCAAUUGCUUUUAAAUAUGUUCCAGUUCAUACGUUAAACAUAGUUUAUUUGAAUUAAAACUGAUUUCUUAAAACUUAUUUUUUCUCAUGAAAAAGCACUUAAUAGUACUGUACCUCAUUAUCGCCAUCAGCUAAUCAAAAUUUUGUUCGUUUUUAUACGUAAAACAUUGUAAUAAUGAAUAACUCUAACCAGAGUUUUUUUACUUUUAGAAGUACGGUAUCUCUAAUAGCAUGUAACUGAAGUUACAACAUGAAAUAUUGGCAAUAAAACGAAUGCAUAGCAUAGUUUAGAUAAGAUUUCCAUAACUGUAUUUGCGAGUACAAUAAUUAUUUUAUCGAUUUUGAAUCACCAUUGAACGGCAAUAUAAGAAAUGUCUCUGUUGUACUUGAUAUAAUCUAUUUACAGUUAUUCUGAUGUAUCAAUACUUGUAGCUUUUAUAUUGAAAAUAGCGAAAUAAAUAACAUCGCCAUUGCAAUAUUUAUAGAAAAUUGUAAAUUUUACCUCUAAUUGAUAUUUCAAUUGCAAUAUUUAUGGAAAAUUAUACAUUUUACCUCUAUUUAUACUGUCAUCUUACGUGCCAUCGUGAUAUUAACAAAUGAGAUUACCUAAAAUAUCUAGUUUAUACGAGUGAAAUAUGUCAUGUUUUUAGGAAAGGUGUAUAUAAUCUAAUCAACGGCAUUUCUAUUGUGAAUAAAACUUCUACAGACUCUCGCAAUGUACAGUACAAUAUUGAUUAGAUAAUAAAAAGCAAAGACUGUGAAAAAUGAACAAUGAUGUAUUCUGGUAAUUUCUUUAUUCACCAAUAAAGAUUUUAAUAUAA